rnacentral:rRNA from 1 species
UACGUAGGGUGCAAGCGUUGUCCGGAAUUAUUGGGCGUAAAGAGCUCGUAGGCGGCUUGUCGCGUCGGCUGUGAAAACCUGGGGCUCAACCCCGGGCCUGCAGCCGAUACGGGCAAGCUAGAAUUCGGUAGGGGAGACUGGAAUUCCUGGUGUAGCGGUGAAAUGCGCAGAUAUCAGGAGGAACACCAGUGGCGAAGGCGGCCUUCUGGACGGAUACUGACGCUGAGGCGCGAAAGCCAGGGGAGCAAACGGG